rnacentral:rRNA from 1 species
AGAGUUUGAUCCUGGCUCAGAACGAACGUUAGCGGUGUGGAUUAGGCAUGCAAGUCGCGCGCGAAAGUCUUCGGACGAGUAAAGCGGCGAAAGGGUGAGUAAUACGUAGUCAACCUGCCCUCGAGAUCGGGACAACCACUGGAAACGGUGGCUAAUACCGGAUGGUCCCACCGGGAGGAUUCUCCUGGUGCGUAAACGGUAGCGAAAGCUUCUGCUCGAGGAGGGGAUUGCGGGCUAUCAGCUAGUUGGCGGGGUAACGGCCCACCAAGGCGAUGACGGCUAGCUGGUCUGAGAGGACGACCAGCCACACUGGGACUGAGACACUGCCCAGACUCCUACGGGAGGCUGCAGUCGAGAAUCUUCCGCAACGGGCGAAAGCCUGACGGAGCGACACCGCGUGCAGGAUGAAGGCCUUCGGGUUGUAAACUGCUGUCACGCUAUAGGAACCGCUUGGAGUUAAUAGCUCCAAGCCUGACUAAAGCGAGAGGAAGCACCGGCUAACUCCGUGCCAGCAGCCGCGGUAAGACGGAGGGUGCAAACGUUGUUCGGAAUCACUGGGCAUAAAGCGCACGUAGGCGGUCCGCUAAGUCAGUUGUGAAAUCCCUCGGCUCAACCGAGGAUCUGCACCUGAUACUGGCGGGCUCGAGGACGGUAGGGGUGAGUGGAACUCCAGGUGGAGCGGUGAAAUGCGUAGAUAUCUGGAGGAACACCGGUGGCGAAAGCGGCUCACUGGACCGUAUCUGACGCUGAGGUGCGAAAGCUAGGGUAGCAAACGGGAUUAGAUACCCCGGUAGUCCUAGCCGUAAACGAUGGGUACUAGGCAAUGGGGAUACCUAUGUUCCUCAUUGCCGGAGCAAAUGUAUUAAGUACCCCGCCUGGGGAGUACGCUCGCAAGGGUGAAACUCAAAGGAAUUGACGG